rnacentral:rRNA from 1 species
GAGUUUGAUCCUGGCUCAGAUUGAACGCUGGCGGCAUGCCUUACACAUGCAAGUCGAACGGCAGCACGGGGGCAACCCUGGUGGCGAGUGGCGAACGGGUGAGUAAUACAUCGGAACGUGUCCUGUAGUGGGGGAUAGCCCGGCGAAAGCCGGAUUAAUACCGCAUACGAUCUACGGAAGAAAGCGGGGGAUCCUUCGGGACCUCGCGCUAUAGGGGCGGCCGAUGGCAGAUUAGCUAGUUGGUGGGGUAAAGGCCUACCAAGGCGACGAUCUGUAGCUGGUCUGAGAGGACGACCAGCCACACUGGGACUGAGACACGGCCCAGACUCCUACGGGAGGCAGCAGUGGGGAAUUUUGGACAAUGGGGGAAACCCUGAUCCAGCAAUGCCGCGUGUGUGAAGAAGGCCUUCGGGUUGUAAAGCACUUUUGUCCGGAAAGAAAACUUCUGCCCUAAUACGGCGGGAGGAUGACGGUACCGGAAGAAUAAGCACCGGCUAACUACGUGCCAGCAGCCGCGGUAAUACG